CCACCCUUCAACAGUCUCAUUCUAACGCUUACUUCCUCCUCAAAAGUCAUGAUCGGUUCUCUUCCUUCGUUCCCGCCACACCGCUCAUCAUUCAUCUAUCUUCCGCUCCCUCCGGCAUCCUCGUCCCCAUUCUUCAGGGAUGAACUAUUCUGGUAAAUUAUGUGCCUACUCUCCAUCUUUGUGAAGAUUACUGACACUUUCCUUGCUACUCUCCACCCGUUGUGCUGUCAUUUAGGUAUGUUACUACUUCCAUAGGGAGUACUAUAAUAUGUUUAACGUGGUAUCUUUCAGUUGACCUUUGAUUUCAUCUAUGUCAAUUUUAUGAUCUUUGUUCUUUGCAUUGUAGUGCCUUGCAAUUGUAAAUUUGUAAGGGAGCCUCCUAGACUUUGUAUUGACCACGUGUUCAACAUCUUAUCCUA